UACGUAGGGUGCAAGCGUUAAUCGGAAUUACUGGGCGUAAAGCGUGCGCAGGCGGUUUUGUAAGUCUGUCGUGAAAUCCCCGGGCUCAACCUGGGAAUUGCGAUGGAGACUGCAAGGCUAGAAUCUGGCAGAGGGGGGGUAGAAUUCCACGUGUAGCAGUGAAAUGCGUAGAGAUGUGGAGGAACACCGAUGGCGAAGGCAGCCCCCUGGGUCAAGAUUGACGCUCAUGCACGAAAGCGUGGGGAGCGAACAGG
rnacentral:rRNA from 1 species